AUGUACGAAGAGUUGUUGAGAGAUUUGGUUAUGAAUAAAUAUAUUCCAGGCAUGGAUCAGAAUUGUACUAGGCUAGUUGUUGAUGGAUGUAGGGAUGCAUUAUAUAUGCGAUUUGAGCACGCAGCUGGGAUGCUUAUGGUGUGCAGGCAGGUUCAUAUGUUAAUUGACCCUCAGAGCUUGAAGAGAAUCAUGGAAAUUGGCUGA